rnacentral:lncRNA from 10 species
CCUCCUGCUCUGCAGCCCAGUUCCUGACAGUCCACGGACCAGUACCAUCCCGAGCCCUGGGGCUGGGGUCCCCUGCCACAGAGUAUCCACCUGUGCUUGUUAUAGAACUGCUUUCAACUAUGUAUCUGACCUCUGGUAGCAAGCUUAUGGCUUAAUACUAUUUUUAUUUGAUCCUAACACUCUGCAAGCUAAGUUAGGGUAGAUAUUUAUUACUAAUUUCCAUCAAAUAGAUCAGCUGUUACCAAAUAUUUUUGGAUUGCAUGCUCUAUUAUUUUUAAAUGCCUUUAAAGGACUUUGUUUUGGAGUGGUUUCCAAUAUUAUUUUCAUUAUAAAACUCACAUAAAGAAAAAAACCUGAAAUGGUGCAGUUGAGAAUGACUUUUAAACAUAGUUUAUAAUAUUUUCUCCUUGCAGAUCUUUUAGGAGAUGGCUUGUAGCGAUGGCAUCUCUGACUCACAGGUAGACAGAGUGCCUUCAUGUCAUACAGUCGGGGAGGGUGGGGCUCAGACGCAGUGUCUCCAGGCCACGCUUUGGGCCCCCUGCCACCCAUUGCUCUCUUCCACAGCUGUGUUCACAUAGAGGCUACCAAAUGCACAGCCUUGGUCAAUGUGUGAUUUUCUUCUUAUUUCCCAUCUAGGAUACCAGCAAAUUGAGGUGUGGACAGCUGAUGUCACAGUGUCUCCUAUACAUUAAGAGCUAAACUGCAACACGGAGCUGUGAAGUGCUGCAAGGAAAGGUUGAUCCCUGUUAGAGUUUCUUGACCCAAAGGCCUUGGAAAAUAGGACAGCCUGGGAGUGGGUGGCACUGCCCACGACAGCCUGCAAACCCACGAGCAGCGCCCUCGGCCGCCACAGAAUUGACUUGGUUCUGCAGUCCUGUGAGGCACAGUUGACAAAAUCCAGGAGAGAGGUAAGAAAGAGGACAGGGCAGAACAGAGGGGUAUUCCUGAACCCUCAGGACCUGCGGACCAUUGGAUCGAAUGGAGAGUUGGUGGGAUGGAGCCUGGCUGAGCUCAGGAUGGCCUGGGCAGUCCCCGAGAUAUGGAGGGGAAGAGGCUGCGGACAGACAUAGAGGAACAAAUAGGCUGGUUUAGGGCCAUUGGGAAUGAGAGUUUUCCUUCCCAGAGCUUUGUCUCAAAGAAAAGAAAAUCUGCUCACUAAUUAAGGAAUUGUGAGUCUUUUUCAUAUCUUGUCUAAGCAUGUGAUUUACUGACUUUAGUCACGAAUAUUGGUAAGUGCCAAACUGAAGAAAACUUGUCAUUCUUUACCACUCAUAGUUGGCAUGAAAAAUUAAAAAAAUCUAUUUAUCUGUCAUAAGAUAAAUUUUAUGACAUUCAUAAUGAUGAAUUCUCCCUGCAAUCUGCAGAGCCUCCCACCUGCCUGCCCUGCCUCUCCCUGGUGUUGGGGGAUAAGCCUCCCUGGCCAGGCUCUGCCUCCAGCCUGCCCUCACUGCUGUGGCUUCCUGCAGGGACUCAGGAAACACCUUCUCUCCCUCAUACCCGCCCUCCUGUAGGAAACUGUCCUUCACCUCCACUCUGUAUUCUUCAAAUUUCCAACUCUUCAGCAGGCUUAGAAUUCUUUCUUUUCAACUUUCCUAUGUUAAAAAAUGUUAUCACUG